UGAAAGUGUUUGUACUGUGGUGAACCAAGCAUCUAUCAUGUGAACUCUUUACAUUCACCCUCUUCUUCAUCCUGUUAAAAAUGCCACUGACACCAGACUAGCCAUUGACAAGGGUGUGUCUUCUCCAUUUCAAGCUGAGCAAUAGGGAAAUGAACUCAGAAAUGAGUCGGGAGCACAGAGACUGCCAACCAGAUGCAAAACUUCCUCAAGAUUUCCUUAAAAUGAAAAAGAAAGCCCAGCAUACUUGACCAGGUGUAGUUCAGCAACAGAGGCUCCACAGAACACAGAUGUGUUUCACUGCAGCAAAGUCAAUGAGACAUAAGUGCUUUGCUGAACCAAAGCCAUAACCGGGCCAGAGUCAGAGACCCACCAGCUUCACGUCCUGGAGCACUUCCACAGCUCGUAGAAAUCCCCUUCCCCAGCUGUAACGUUACCUGCCCUGGCAGAGAGGUACACAAAUCCUGCAGGGAUUGUGUGGAAAGGUGUUUCCACAGAAGGUCUGUUUCCUCCUUUGUGCUGAUUGCACGUGAAGCUGAUGUUGCAGUUCUUGUGUUCUCCUGCUUCUUUGUGAUCUUUGUAAUUUGUGCAUAAAUUAUUUGUUUUAUGGAGCUGUAGCAUAUGGCAGCAAAGAAUCACUCUGUUAUCAGGAACUCCCAGGUGACAUAAAGAAAAUGAAUAACUAAUUUGUUGAUCUUCGUGACUGCUAUGAACAUGUGAGCACCCUCCCAUACCCAAUCCUUAUUCUUACCCAAUCCUUAUUCUUACAUGAGUGUGCAUUUCCCUCCAAAGAGUCAAGGAAAGAACUGUCAGAUCCAGGGUAAAAUAUCAGUCAAAGGACUGGCUGAAGGUGAUUGUUUUAGAGGUCAUUUCUGUUGUCCUUAUUCUUUGUAGCAAGAAAGACUGUACUAUUUAAAUUACAAAAUGGGAAAAGGAAUAAAUCAUACAAGCAACUGAAUAUCCAUCUCCAGAUUAUUUUAUCCUAUUGUACAACAAAUAGAAGAUAACAACUACAAAGUUCAAACACUUGUGGACAGUAGUUUAGAAGAUGACUUUAGUUUUCACACUGUAGAAGGCUGGUCAAACUCAGAUGUAAAACCUAAUCCAGAUCUGAAAACACAAGCAGGUUUGAAACCAUUUUGCCUAUAAACCAAGCUUACAUUUAACUGUUACAUAAUUUAGAGCAGAAUUCAUUAGCUGCAUCAUAUGAGUUCUCUGGUGUCAGGUUGCUGCUAACUGCUGGUACAGGUGCUGGGCAGAUAACGGUCAUACAAGAUAGUGAAAAAUGUUACUGGAGAUAUUUACUUCUAACUGGCUAUUAAAAAAAAAUAAAAUAAAAUGUUGUGCACAAGCAUUUAGUAUUUAUUUACUGUCAAAAAUAUGGUACGUUAGUAUCAGAGUGUUCCCUGACUUCAAAUGAUUGUAGUCUAACAGAAAGACACAAGGGAGACAUCAUAGGCUGGAAAAUCCAGUGGACGUCCUGUAUCAGUAGAUUUUAUUUUUGGUUUAAUUAUAAGCUCUCUUCUUGUGAGUCUUGUAGGACUGUCCUAAGAGUGUCAUUAUAGACAUAUCAUGGUGACUGUUUUUAUAAUGCCAAAUGCCUAAUAAACUGCUGUCAUGUGAUGAAAAAAUACUGCAUUGGGGAUUGGUUCCCUUCAGCAUUAAUACUUUAACACAAAGGAUAUGAGCAUGAGAACACUGAUUUCUGCUUAAGAGCUGCUUAUUUCAUCACCUCAACCUCCUAUCACUGAAGUACAACGUGAUAACAUUUUUCCCUGUAGUCAAUUGUGAUGUCACAAGAGGAGGAUUAUGACCUCGGGAAGGAAUCAGCAGCAAGAAAAGAAAAUUUUAUUAAACCAAAAAACUGCUUCUUUAUGCAAAAAGCAUCAAGUAAUAAACAUGAGCAGAAAUAUAUGUUCCAGUUGGUAAUCUGCACCUUUGAUCCUACUCUAUUCCCAUGGUCUUUUAAUAUUGGUUAUGUCUUUUCCUCAUUAGCAGAAUGGAAGUAAUUGCCCUUGUUGAAAUGGGAUCAUAAAAACACGGAUCUUGAGAAUUCACAUUCAUAAAUCUAAGUAUUGGCAUGCAAAUAUUUAAAAGCAAAUAUUUACUUAAUCAGCACUGUAAAGCCUCCCCAUCACAUAAACAUCAGUCAUCUGUAAUGUUAGCUUAACAGAUGUACAGCAGAAUCCAUACCUAGCAGUCACUCACAGCAGGUAAGUUUAUUAAAUGGGCAAAGUGUGGUAUUCACUUUAAAAUGUCCCCUUGAAUUCCAGGAUGCAAUAUAUCAUCUUAGACAAGGCCCAGACCUAGGGUUGUAGAUCUGGUCUUCAGUCCCUGCUCAUCCCCUUUCAAUUUGUCUCUGACUUCCAGUCCAAUUUCGCUUCCCUGUCUAUGGAACAGUCAAUUUUCCUAUUUCCACAUCUUGUAAUGAGUUUUAUUCCCUGGCCACCUGCAUGAGGUGACCCUUCAGUACAAUCAUCCACAGAGCUAUGUGCCAGAGCAGCUGUCCUGAGUCCAAGGGGCAGUGGUUUCUCCUCUGAUAUGCUUUUUGCUGGAAGAAUAAUGAUUCAGAAUUUCUUCUGAGAAGGGCUGGAGCAUCACAAAGGGGUUUUGAACCAAGGAAAAACACUUGCUUUGCCCAUAGCAGUGAGAGUGCACUCUGGUUCAGGAGGAGAAGACAUUGCUUAAGGGAAAGAUUGAACAAGGAAUUGCAGAAUAGGCUCAGCCUGGAAUGAUUUUAUCAGGUCAGGGCCUCAGUUCAUCAGGAGGAAUUUCUACACAAUAAGCAGAAGCAUCUUGAGGGCCUCCUCAAUUUAGGAUGAUAGCAUAGCUUUGAUGUUCACCAGGUCCUAGAAACUUGGUGUUGACUGGGAAUGUCUUGCACUCUAAGAUCAAAAGUGUGAGCUGAAUUUUCUUUCAGACUUUCUAACCCUAACUUCCAUUCUAACACUAAGAUGAAGCUUAUCCUGAUUUAGGAUGCAAAAAUAACUGGUUUUGGUAAAGAAUUUUCCCUAGGACUUUGCAUGAAAUUAAGGUUUAUACAUGGAGGUUCGUUUUUAUGAAGCUCCACUUGGUGCUUUGUAAUUUAAAUUGACAUACUCCUCAGGGGCUGUUAGCGGUAAAAAUAAAUUAACUGACAGAAUUGCAAUAGUAGCAGUGUUGUAACUGCGAUGGUCCAAGAAUAUAUUAUUCUCAGCCUGUGCUUCAUUCUCUUCAGACUCAAAAUAAGGUUUAUGUGCCUGAAAGAGGUUGUUUUUUUUGUUUGUUUUGUUUUGUUUUCCAGCAGGAUAAUACUUGUCCUCACAAACCUGGCCCUGGCUAUUUGACAUUCUCCCCACAGUGUGCAGGGGCUGCAAGAUCUGGCUGCCUCCAGCAUUAAGCAGCUAGACACAGUGACCUCAAGGGUUGGACCUGUGCUCCCAUGACCAUCUUCAUUAUAGCUCGGCUACUUCAGUGGUUUUCUGGUCCUUUCUGCUCUCUUUCCCUUUGCUUUGGCCAUAUAAACCUCUGACCUUGAAGAUCAUAAGCACAAAGCAGUGGUUUCCAGUGCUCAGAACUAAUCACUGCUGUCAAUAAUACUCAGGACAAGCCACAAGUUAUUACUAUUCAAUACACUGAUUGGUGUUGCUUUUUGCUACUGUGAAAGCCAGGUUAUGGAGUUGGGCUGUCCACAAAGCCUGUUCCUAUGUUCUUUUCAUAAGUGAGUAAAAGGAACUUGCAGCAUAAUAGGGUAUAAUUGUUCCUGGAAGACCAAAAAAAUAAAAAAUAAAAAAAAUAGAAGAGAGAGAGAGAGAAUUUAUCUUUUGUAAAAAGAUUAAAAUCUGCAGAGGCUUUUUGAAAGUAGUUUGAAUAUGGACUCUUGAGAAAAGAAAGAAAGAAAGAAAGAAAGAAAGAAAGAAAGAAAGAAAGA